rnacentral:rRNA from 1 species
UACGUAGGGGGCAAGCGUUGUCCGGAAUCAUUGGGCGUAAAGCGCGCGUAGGCGGCCCGGUAAGUCCGCUGUGAAAGUCAAAGGCUCAACCUUUGAAUGUCAGCGGAUACUGCCGGGCUAGAGUCCGGAAGAGGCGAGUGGAACUCCUGGUGUAGCGGUGGAAUGCGCAGAUAUCAGGAGGAACACCGGUGGCGAAGGCGGUGGUCUGGGCCGGUACUGACGCUGAGGAGCGAAAGCGUGGGGAGCGAACAGG